GUUCGUAUAUAGCGAGAAGCGGACCCGCGAUCUCCGAGGUGAAAGUCGCUUGCUCUGGCGACUGCACCACCGAAGCACCCUUCCCUCUACCUUGAAACACAGUAAAAAUAUUACUUUCAAGCGCGGUUCAAUCAAAUAUCACUUCGUUGAACCACAUGCUUCGUUGAACCGCCGCAUGCAAACCAAGAAUCUCAGGUCUGAAAACAAUAAAUUCGAAUGCUUUUCGUUUUAAUUUAUUUGCUCUAUUUGAAAUAUUUUGGGUUUACUCAUUUGAG